GUUUGAACAUGACUGUUAAUUUUAUUGAUGAAGUGUAUACUGAUUGGGAUUUUCAACUAACAAAGUUUAGUGCAAAAAUUCAUGAUGCUAUUGCCAAAAUUUACAGGAGUCAGAGUGUGAAUAAAACUUUUAAUGUUGUUAUACAUUCUAUAAAAAAUCGGCCAUAGUUAGUUUGGAGAUUUUCAUCUUUUUUAUUGCAAAGGCAUGCUUAACAGACCUGAUUUGUUAUUUCUACAAAUGAGUGGUUAAGACAUCUAGAUCAAGAAAUUAUUGCGUAAUAUAUUGUACUAAAAUCUAUUAAUAUUAUUAGUAA
rnacentral:lncRNA from 1 species